rnacentral:rRNA from 1 species
ACGCACGCUGGCGGCGUGCUUAACACAUGCAAGUCGAACGGAAAGGCCCUGCUUUUGUGGGGUGCUCGAGUGGCGAACGGGUGAGUAACACGUGAGUAACCUGCCCUUGACUUUGGGAUAACUUCAGGAAACUGGGGCUAAUACCGGAUAGGAGCUCCUGCUGCAUGGUGGGGGUUGGAAAGUUUCGGCGGUUGGGGAUGGACUCGCGGCUUAUCAGCUUGUUGGUGGGGUAGUGGCUUACCAAGGCUUUGACGGGUAGCCGGCCUGAGAGGGUGACCGGCCACAUUGGGACUGAGAUACGGCCCAGACUCCUACGGGAGGCAGCAGUGGGGAAUAUUGCACAAUGGGCGGAAGCCUGAUACAGCAACGCCGCGUGCGGGAUGACGGCCUUCGGGUUGUAAACCGCUUUCGCCUGUGACGAAGCGUGAGUGACGGUAAUGGGUAAAGAAGCACCGGCUAACUACGUG